AUAUAAUACAAAUUAGAUAAGUAACCACUAAUAAAGAACUUAUUCGAUCAUUUACAUUUAUAGAAGUAAAAACGAUACCAAAAUCAGCUUGUUAUGAUCUCUGUAAAACUAUACCUCGCGAAAUAGAUAUAUGCAAACACAAUUGUGACGUGUUAUUCAAAAAUUCAACCUCCAUAUCAAUCAUUUCGUUAGAAGAUUGUCUCUCCAAGUGCCAAC